UAGGAUGUAACUCAGAGGUAGAGUACUUGCCUAGCAUGUACCAGGUCCUGGGUUCAAACCCCAGUACUUCAA
rnacentral:tRNA from 1 species